GCUCUUCCAAUCUGCAGGCCCAGGCCCCCUCAGCCAAGAGUCCGAACCUGCGAGGGGGGGGCGAGAGCCCACUGUUCAC